GCCCCCCAUUAUGUUCGAAGGGGUGUUCCUGUCAGGGUUAAUGCUUAGGAGGGAUGGGUUUGGGAACACCUGGGCCUUGCUGGGGGAGAGGUGGCUGGGAGGCAGGAGGUUGGUUCCAAUUGUUGUUUUCUCCAUACCUAAGUGGCAUAUUAAAACUAAAAUCAACAUUAAAAAAUAAAAAAUACAACUAAGGUGUAUGUAAUAUGGACACUCUUCCCCCCCAAUUUGCUACGAUAAAGCAUUAAUACCUGGGUCCUGAUGUAGAGGAUGGUGGAUAUGUAGGCAUUGGCUGGAAACAGAUGAAGAGAGCAGAAUUACUACCACACGUAAACUGGUUAAUUAGUCAUGUACUGGAAAAGGUCCUAGGUCUGUUUGUGUUGUAUAGCCCACUCCCAUGACCAGGCUAGAUCUGUUUGUGUUGUAUAGCCCACUCCCAUGACCAGGCUAGAUCUGUUUGUGUUGUAUAGCCCACUCCCAUGACCAGGCUAGGUCUGUUUGUGUUGUAUAGCCCACUCCCAUGACCAGGCUAGAUCUGUUUGUGUUGUAUAGCCCCCUCCCAUGACCAGGCUAGAUCUGUUUGUGUUGUAUAGCCCACUCCCAUGACCAGGCUAGGUCUGUUUGUGUUGUAUAGACCACUCCCAUGACCAGGCUAGAUCUGUUUGUGUUGUAUAGACCACUCCCAUGACCAGGCUAGAUCUGUUUGUGUUGUAUAGCCCACUCCCAUGACCAGGCUAGAUCUGUUUGUGUUGUAUAGACCACUCCCAUGACCAGGCUAGAUCUGUUUGUGUUGUAUAGCCCACUCCCAUGACCAGGCUAGAUCUGUUUGUGUUGUAUAGCCCACUCCCAUGACCAGGCUAGAUCUGUUUGUGUUGUAUAGCCCACUCCCAUGACCAGGCUAGGUCUGUUUGUGUUGUAUAGCCCACUCCCAUGACCAGGCUAGAUCUGUUUGUGUUGUAUAGACCACUCCCAUGACCAGGCUAGAUCUGUUUGUGUUGUAUA
ensembl:lncRNA